GCCGGAAUAGCUCAGUUGGGAGAGCGUUAGACUGAAGUCGUUUACGCAACAAUCAUCAAAGGCUCCCGGUUCAAUCCCGGGUUCCGGCG
rnacentral:tRNA from 1 species